UACACCUUCAGUCAUAGGACUCCAGG
rnacentral:piRNA from 1 species